rnacentral:lncRNA from 1 species
CUGCUGUCUUGAUGACGCACAGUGCUGGCGCAAGUCGUCUUGCGCCAGGCGACUGGGUCUGAGGAGGCAGGAGUUAUUCAUUCCCUUAAGCUUUCAGGCCGGGGGGAGAAUCUUUCAGGUGGUAGCUGCAAGAACUCUUAGUAUGUUGACCUCACCUCUGCCUUCCACAUACCACUACCAGUGAGGAAUUAGGAAUGCAUGAGAAGAGUGUCCAAGAAGAGUGUCCUCAUUCAUGCAAGGCUUAAGAGAGAAUGCAGGUCAACAUCACCAUGUCAAUCAGAGGCCUCCAUCGCUGCAGUGCAGAAAAAAAUGGAAAGGAAUGGCUGGAAGAAUUCUGGAUUAAGGAAGAAGUUCCUGUUCAUUCAUUAAGCACUUUUUUUUAAAGUUACAAAAAAACUAAU